rnacentral:rRNA from 1 species
GGACGAACGCUGGCGGCGUGCCUAAUACAUGCAAGUCGAACGAGCUCUCCUAAAUUGAUUUUAUGCUUGCAUAAAUGAUUUUUAGAUUCGGAGCGAGUGGCGAACUGGUGAGUAACACGUGGGUAACCUGCCCCGAAGCGGGGGAUAACAUUUGGAAACAAAUGCUAAUACCGCAUAAUUAGUUGGAACCGCAUGGUUCCAACUUGAAAGAUGGCUCUGCUAUCACUUUGGGAUGGACCCGCGCCGUAUUAGUUAGUUGGUGAGAUAAAAGCCCACCAAGACGAUGAUACGUAGCCGACCUGAGAGGGUAAUCGGCCACAUUGGGACUGAGACACGGCCCAGACUCCUACGGGAGGCAGCAGUAGGGAAUCUUCCACAAUGGACGAAAGUCUGAUGGAGCAACGCCGCGUGAGUGAUGAAGGUUUUCGGAUCGUAAAACUCUGUUGUUAAAGAAGAACAAGUGUUAGAGUAACUGUUAACACUUUGACGGUAUUUAACCAGAAAGCCACGGCUAACUACGUGCCAGCAGCCGCGGUAAUACGUAGGUGGCAAGCGUUGUCCGGAUUUAUUGGCGUAAAGCGAGCGCAGGCGGUUUUGUAAGUCUGCUGUGAAAGCCCUCAGCUCAACUGAGGAAGUGCAGUGGAAACUACAAAACUUGAGUACAGAAGAGGAAAGUGGAACUCCAUGUGUAGCGGUGAAAUGCGUAGAUAUAUGGAAGAACACCAGUGGCGAAGGCGGCUUUCUGGUCUGUUACUGACGCUGAGGCUCGAAAGCAUGGGUAGCGAACAGGAUUAGAUACCCUGGUAGUCCAUGCCGUAAACGAUGAAUACUAGGUGUUGGAGGGUUUCCGCCCUUCAGUGCCGCAGCUAACGCAUUAAGUAUUCCGCCUGGGGAGUACGACCGCAAGGUUGAAACUCAAAGGAAUUGACGGGGGCCCGCACAAGUGGUGGAGCAUGUGGUUUAAUUCGAUGCUACGCGAAGAACCUUACCAGCUCUUGACAUCUUCUGCCAACCCAAGAGAUUGGGCGUUCCCUUCGGGGACAGAAUGACAGGUGGUGCAUGGUUGUCGUCAGCUCGUGUCGUGAGAUGUUGGGUUAAGUCCCGCAACGAGCGCAACCCUUAUUAUUAGUUGCCAGCAUUUAGUUGGGCACUCUAGUGAGACUGCCGGUGAUAAACCGGAGGAAGGUGGGGACGACGUCAAAUCAUCAUGCCCCUUAUGAGCUGGGCUACACACGUGCUACAAUGGAUGGUACAACGAGUCGCGAAACCGCGAGGUCAAGCUAAUCUCUUAAAGCCAUUCUCAGUUCGGAUUGCAGGCUGCAACUCGCCUGCAUGAAGUUGGAAUCACUAGUAAUCGUGGAUCAGCAUGCCACGGUGAAUACGUUCCCGGGCCUUGUACUCACCG